GAGUUUGAUCCUGGCUCAGGAUGAACGCUGGCGGUAUGCCUAAUACAUGCAAGUCGUACGAAAGUUUUUAACUUUAGUGGCGGACGGGUGAGUAACGCGUGAGAAUUUACCUUUAGGAGGGGGAUAACAGCUGGAAACGGUUGCUAAUACCCCAUAUGCUUUCGAGUGAAAUAGAUUUAUCUGCCUGAAGAGAAGCUCGCGUCUGAUUAGCUUGUUGGUGGGGUAAAGGCCUACCAAGGCGACGAUCAGUAUCUGGUUUGAGAGGAUGAUCAGACACACUGGAACUGAGACACGGUCCAGACUCCUACGGGAGGCAGCAGUAGGGAAUUUUCCGCAAUGGGCGAAAGCCUGACGGAGCAAUACCGCGUGAGGGAAGACUGCCUAUGGAUUGUAAACCUCUUUUUUCAGGGAGGAAUUUUGACGUGUACCUGAAGAAUAAGCAUCGGCUAACUCCGUGCCAGCAGCCGCGGUAAGACGGAGGAUGCAAGUGUUAUCCGGAAUCACUGGGCGUAAAGCGUCUGUAGGUGGUUAAACAAGUCAACUGUUAAAUCUUGAAGCUCAACUUCAAAAUCGCAGUCGAAACUGUUUGACUAGAGUAUAGUAGGGGUAAAGGGAAUUUCCAGUGGAGCGGUGAAAUGCGUAGAGAUUGGAAAGGACCCCGAUGGCGAAGGCACUUUACUGGGCUAUUUCUGACACUAAGAGACGAAAGCUAGGGAGCGAAUGGGAUUAGAUACCCCAGUAGUCCUAGCUGUAAAC
rnacentral:rRNA from 1 species